CAGGAGAAUCACUUGAAUGAGCCAAGAUCACACCACUGCACUCCAGCCUGGGUGACAGAGGGAGACUCCAUCUCAAAAAAAUAAAUAAUAAAUAAAAUUUAGUUUUGAAGUUGAAUUUUAAGACCUUGUUACACCUUUUUAAAGAGAAAGAAGUUAUUAUCUAGGGCACAGUACAGAGAAACAAAAGAAUGGAAAAUAUGAGUGAUUAGGAUACAAGACGUAUGAAGGGUAGAGUGAGAUAACCUACCACAUGUUGGUUACUAACCAGAGUCCCAGAAGGAGGUGAGAGAGAAUAUAGCAAAAGCAGUAUGCAAGUAUUUGAAAAGACAAUGGCUGAUAAAAGACACCAGUCUACCAAUUUAGGAAUCUCAACAAUUCUCAAGCUGGGCAAAUAAGAAGAAAUCAUAUCGGUGUGAAAAUGCAGAACACCAAAACCAGAAAAGGCAGGUUACCUUCAAGGGUGAAAAACAACCAAACUUCCAGAUGAUUUAUCAGCCCCAACAGAAGGCAAACAGUGGUAGGAUUCCUUUCAUGUGCAUCACAAACUUUGUCAACUUAGAAGUGUAUAUUUUGCAAAACAAAAAAAUCUGUCAGGAAAAGGGAUAAAAUAAAGACUCAAACAAAACUGUGAGAAUUCGACAUCAAAACAUGUUUAUUAGAUAAAGAUCUAAAGGAUUAUUUCAGACAGAAGGAAAUUGAUCCCAGAUGGAUGCUGCGAUAUUAUGAAGAAAUAUAGGAAAGAAACUGGUAAAUAUUCUGGUUAGUCUAAACAAACAUUGACUCUAUAAAACAAUAACUUUUUUCUCUUUUUUUCCUGAAGGGUAUCAUGUCAGAUUAUAGUUAGUGACACACCACAUGUUGUAUAAUAGGUCUCGAGUUUAAAUUAUUGGUUUUUUCCGUUGUUGUUUUGGAGGUUUUUGCUGACACAAUACCUUUGGGAUAAGUACCACUGAGUCAGAAAGGAUAACAAUGUCUUUUCAAGGUUCUCCACUCCUUACUCUCUCCCUCGCAUAAAGAAGCCAUGGCAGAGGCACCUGAAGAAGAUCUUGGAUAGAGAGACCUGGGAAUGAAGGAGCCACGGCUGGGAAUGCAGGAACCUCUGAAACCACAUAACAAAAGCCUGAGGCAACCAUGGGGGCUGUGCUAAGAGCUCAUCUCAGACGUGUGGCCUAGAUCCUGCUGGAACUCAGGGUGGAUUUCGAGUCUCUGGGCUGGAGCCCCACUGUGUUGGGAGGAGCAGACUCUUGCCUUCUUGGACAGCACACUUGCAUGAAGCAAGCUGCCAUAUUGAAGAAGUCACAUGGCUAGGACCUGCGGGUGCCUCCAGCCAACAACGAACAGGGAAUCGGAGUCCUCAAUCCAACAACCACAGGGGUGAGGCACUGUUCUAAAAACAAGAGGCUGGAGCUCAAGGUGGACUUUCAGCGAUUCCCUGCUCCUCAUCCAGGGAGCUGCCAAUCAGGCAGGCAGAGUUUCACCAUGUUGCCCAGGUGGGUCUCAAACUCCUGAGCUCAAGCAAUCUUCCCACCUCGGUCUCUCAAAGUGCUGGGAUUACAGGCAUAAGCCACCACGCCCGGCCCUUCAAUUGUUAACCUAUAUUGAUCACCCACACUGCUCUCUGGCAUCGAUUUUUCCACUUCUCAGAAACACUUUGGCCCACAAAUUCCCAAGGGAACCUUGCUCUUCACUCUGGAAAACACGAUGCCAACAUAUCAGAAUAAAGGACAGAUAGGAGCUUCUGCUUCAAAGUGAAUCACUUCAUGGAUGUUAAAGUGUCCUGGAACAUUCUAAACUUCACAACUUUUGAGAGUAACUGUACUCUGUUUGCAAUAUAUUUGCAUAUAUUAAUUGUUAUAUCUGAAAAGCAUGAGAUUGUUGUUUUUAAAAUUAUAUGAAGUAAGUUAAUAUUUUAUUACUAGGUAUGAGAACUGCUAACGUGGACAACUGCUGAUGAGGACAUCCAUAGAAGUAGAAAAUUCUAAAUGUCCUACCGUCACCAAUAAGAAACUUUGACAGUCAAGUAGAUACAAUACAAUCACAUGGAAAACUGUAUAUAGUAUAUUGUAUGUGAAGAUCCCAUGAAAAGAACAGAGACUAUAGGAAAUAUAAUCAUCUAAGCUACAGGUAAGAAGAACAUCAAGAUUCUUUAAAGCAAUGGCUCUCAAAGUGGAAGCACCAGCAGCAUCAGCACCACGUGGAAGCUUAGGAAUGCAACUCUCCAGCCCCACCUCAGACCUACUGGCUCAACAACUGUGAGGGAGAGGAGGAGAAAAGUACCCCAUUGCAGUAGAGAUAAGUGGAUCUGAAACCCCAACGUCAGCUGAAGAGGUUCUUUAUGACCCCUGGAACCUGCACUCCAGUUGCCCUUGCACGUUUGUGGUUUAACGGUCCCAGAGACAAAUCUGCCACUUCUGGCUCGCAUCCAACCAAAGCGCAGGUGUUCAUCAUUAGGAGAUGUUGGCUGAUGUACAUAGACACGUAAGAAAGAUUCAAAGGGUCGUGGAUGGAUCACCAAUAACACCAGUAUAUGCAAGAUCAGAGGACAGUGUGUGAUCCAGGCCCUAGGACUGACAAAUGGGGACUCAGUCCCUGCUUGGGAUGGUGUUUUAUUUUGACUUUUUUCUGAAACAGCAGAGAAGUUUCCCAAAUAAUCACAAGGAGAUAAGAAAGUGUUUACACUUGUUUCAGUUGCUCUUCACUGCCUCCCUAUGACCAACACUCACAAUUCUAUGGUCUUAGCAGUUGCACUGAGAAGUCAGAAGAACCUGCUAUUGUGGGUUCAUAACCUUUUAUUACCUCUCACUGAUAAACAAUGUAUACUGCUAAACAAGACAUCAGUUAUGACGCUCAAGAUUUUAAGUGCUUUUUGAACUAAAAACAAACAAAAACAUUGUGACCUGCAUAAAAUGUAAAUGGUUUAUCUUCAAGUCAAAAGCCACAGGUUUGGCCGGGCGCGGUGGCUCAAGCCUGUAAUCCCAGCACUUUGGGAGGCCGAGACGGGCGGAUCACGAGGUCAGGAGAUCGAGACCAUCCUGGCUAACACGGUGAAA